CUUUUUUGUCUUGGAAGGAGAAUCGUGCAAGAAAAAAAGGCAAGGCGAGAAGAGGUCGGGACCGGUGUGGAAGAAUAAAACCAGCCUCCACCGUUAAGCAAAAAAUGCAAAUUGUCAUGCAAGUUCGUAAACUCCUGGUUUUAUUCAUCGUCCAACUCGAGGACUGGACCAGCUCCGCGUAGCUGAACUCGGCAGAUCCACGAGCGCUGGGCUCGGAGAGGCGGAGGUUGAGCCGCACCGUGAUUCGCCUCGGGCCGCCGUCGCCCCUGUCACCGGCCGCAUCGAUACCUGGCAAACCGCAGCUGACCCCGGCCCCCAUCUCCGGACCCCCAGACCGCCCAUUUAUCCCGGGACAGUCUUCGGCGUCGGCCUCCAGUCGGGGGUUCUGCGGGUCGGCGGCCGCUACGGAGCUAAAAGCCGACACGGUCACAAAGGGUACUUUCCUCGGUUCGGCCAUUUGGACCGUUAAUGUGAGAACCGUCCGCCUGACCGAAGCCGAGCAGCGGCAGCCGCAGAGACCCCACACAGACAAACUGCUUUAUAUUCUGUUUCGGGGGCUACAAUUUUUUUAUUAAAAUACGUAAUUGCUGACACAA